rnacentral:rRNA from 1 species
AGAGUUUGAUCCUGGCUCAGGACGAACGCUGGCGGCAUGCCUAACACAUGCAAGUCGAACGGAGUUUAAUUGACAGAAGCCUUCGGGCAGAAGACGAUUAAACUUAGUGGCGGACGGGUGAGUAACGCGUGGAUAACCUGCCUUAUAGAGGGGGACAACAGUUGGAAACGACUGCUAAUACCGCAUAAGGUCUCGAGACCGCAUGAUCUUGAGAAGAAAGAUGGCCUCUGAAAAUGCUAUCGCUAUAAGAUGGAUCCGCGUCUGAUUAGCUAGUUGGUGAGGUAACGGCUCACCAAGGCAACGAUCAGUAGCCGGCCUGAGAGGGUGAACGGCCACAUUGGGACUGAGACACGGCCCAAACUCCUACGGGAGGCAGCAGUGGGGAAUCUUCCGCAAUGGGCGAAAGCCUGACGGAGCAAUGCCGCGUGAAUGAAGAAGGCCUUCGGGUCGUAAAAUUCUGUCCUUAUUGAAGAGAGGUUCAUGUGUAAACAAUGCAUGAAUAGGACGGUAGAUAAGGAGGAAGCCCCGGCUAACUACGUGCCAGCAGCCGCGGUAAUACGUAGGGGGCGAGCGUUGUCCGGAAUCACUGGGCGUAAAGGGCGCGUAGGCGGCCUAGUAAGUCAGAUGUGAAAAGUGAGGGCUCAACCCUUAGAGUGCAUCUGAUACUGCUAGGCUUGAGUACAGAAGAGGAAAGCGGAAUCCUAGUGUAGCGGUGAAAUGCGUAGAUAUUAGGAGGAACACCAGUGGCGAAGGCGGCUUUCUGGGCUGAAACUGACGCUGAGGCGCGAAAGCGUGGGGAGCAAACAGGAUUAGAUACCCUGGUAGUCCACGCCGUAAACGAUGGGUACUAGGUGUCGGGGGUAUCGAUACCCUCGGUGCCGGAGUAAACACAAUAAGUACCCCGCCUGGGGAGUACGAUCGCAAGAUUGAAACUCAAAGGAAUUGACGGGGGCCCGCACAAGCGGUGGAGCAUGUGGUUUAAUUCGACGCAACGCGAAGAACCUUACCAAGACUUGACAUCCUGCUGACGGAUUGGGUAAUGCCGAUCGUUCUACUUCGGUAGACAGCAGAGACAGGUGGUGCAUGGUUGUCGUCAGCUCGUGUCGUGAGAUGUUGGGUUAAGUCCCGCAACGAGCGCAACCCUUGUCUUUAGUUGCCAGCAUUAAGUUGGGCACUCUAAAGAGACUGCCGGUGACAAACCGGAGGAAGGUGGGGAUGACGUCAAAUCAUCAUGCCCCUUAUGUCUUGGGCUACACACGUGCUACAAUGGUCGGUACAAAGGGCAGCGAGACCGCGAGGUGGAGCGAAUCCCAAAAAGCCGAUCCCAGUUCGGAUUGCAGGCUGCAACCCGCCUGCAUGAAGUCGGAAUCGCUAGUAAUCGCAGGUCAGCAUACUGCGGUGAAUACGUUCCCGGGCCUUGUACACACCGCCCGUCACACCACGAAAGUUGGUAACACCCGAAGCCGGUGGUCUAACCGCAAGGAGGAAGCUGUCGAAGGUGGGACUAAUGAUUGGGGUGAAGUCGUAACAAGGUA